rnacentral:rRNA from 1 species
CAAGGGCGUAUAUUAAAGUUGUUGCAGUUAAAAAGCUCGUAGUUGGAUUUCUGGUGGGAGCGAUCGGUCUGGCGCUUAGCGCGAGUACUUGCAUCGUCUCCGGCCAUCCUUGGGGAGAGUCUGUCUGGCAUUAAGUUGUCGGGCAGAGGAUCCUCAUCGUUUACUGUGAAAAAAUUAGAGUGUUCAAAGCAGGCUUAUGCCGUUGAAUAUAUUAGCAUGGAAUAAUAAGAUAGGACUUUGGUACUAUUUUGUUGGUUUGCGCACCAAAGUAAUGAUUAAUAGGGACAGUUGGGGGUAUUCGUAUUCCGUUGUCAGAGGUGAAAUUCUUGGAUUUACGGAAGACGAACUACUGCGAAAGCAUUUACCAAGGAUGUUUUCAUUAA